CUGUUGUUGAAUGGACCAAAAGAGAAACAAAUCUUUCCUACUGAUGAGUCAACAGGGUCAACAGAAGGUAGGCUCUGAGGGUCAGGUCUUUCCUACUGAUGAGUCAACAGGGUCAAUAGAAGGUAGGCUCUGAGGGUCAGGUCUUUCCUACUGAUGAGUCAACAGGGUCAACAGAAGGUAGGCUCUGAGGGUCAGGUCUUUCCUACUGAUGAGUCAACAGGGUCAAUAGAAGGUAGGCUCUGAGGGUCAGGUCUUUCCUACUGAUGAGUCAACAGGGUCAAUAGAAGGUAGGCUCUGAGGGUCAGGUCUUUCCUACUGAUGAGUCAACAGGGUCAAUAGAAGGUAGGCUCUGAGGGUCAGGUCUUUCCUACUGAUGAGUCAACAGGGUCAAUAGAAGGUAGGCUCUGAGGGUCAGGUCUUUCCUACUGAUGAGUCAACAGGGUCAAUAGAAGGUAGGCUCUGAGGGUCAGGUCUUUCCUACUGAUGAGUCAACAGGGUCAAUAGAAGGUAGGCUCUGAGGGUCAGGUCUUUCCUACUGAUGAGUCAACAGGGUCAAUAGAAGGUAGGCUCUGAGGGUCAGGUCUUUCCUACUGAUGAGUCAACAGGGUCAACAGAAGGUAGGCUCUGAGGGUCUUGACAUGUUCCUGAAUAACAUAGCAACACCUGAAGGAAUGGCAUCUAAAACAAUUGCAACAUCUUUAGGUGUUACAGGGACCUUGUAAAGUGAUAAGAAUUCCUUAUAACUGAGUGAAAGACCCUUUGAAUUUACCAGUUGGCUCACCAAUAGGAUAUUAUUUCCGAACCAAUAUUCUAAAAACAGAGAGGUAUUUUUAUACAAUAUAUCCCGAUUAUUCCAUAUAUAAUAUCUGUGUGGAGAAAAAGUGUGUUUAUAAAUUAAGGACCAUGACAAGAAAGCCUGCCGAUGAAAAGCAGAAAAUUUCACUGGAACUUUGUCAAUAUUAUAAUUGCAAAACAACAUGGAGUUAAGGCCACCAAAAGUAGAGA